CGUGUGAGCACACAGCAAGGUGGCAGCUACCUACAACGCAGGAAGAAAGGGUUCACCAGAAACUAUGCCGGCACCCUGAUCUCAGACUUCCAGCCUCCAGAGUGAAGGCUGAGACCAUCAUCUGAAAAAGCCUGGGUUAGCCCCCUGGAGGACAAGAAACAACUUGGAGCAGAGAUGAACAGUCCUUGCUGAGGCACCUAGAUCCCUAACCUGCAAACCUUAAAAUAUGUGAGUGAAGUCAUCCUACACUAUCUAGACCAUAGGAGUUGCCAGCUGACCACAGAUACAGCAAAGCAAGCACAAGCCAGAAAAAAACUGCCAGCAUAUCCCCAGAAUUGUGAGCAAAUGAAAUUGUUGCAUUAAGCCACUAUGCUUUGAAGUGGUUUGUAACAGAGCAAAAGCUAACUGAUACACUGGUUAAUCCAUUUUUAAUAAAUCAAUAGAUUCAGAUCCCUGCAUUGUAAAGUUCCCCACCAAUCUUUCAAUUAAUGCUCAUCCACUGAUUGUUGCCUAUAUCAAUGUUUAAUUUCAUGCAAAUCAAUAACUUUUUUCCUUUUUUUUUUUGAGACAGGGUUUUGCUCUGUCACUCAGGCUGGAGUGCAGUGGCACAAUCAUGACUCACUGAAGCCACGAUCUUCUGGGCUCAAGCAAACCUACCACCUCAGCCUCCCAAGCAGCUGAGACUGACUACAGGCACGUACCACUCUGCCUGGUUUUGUUAUUUUUAACUUUUUUUGUAGAUAUGGGGUCUAGCUAUGUUGCUCAGGCUGGUCUCGAACUUCUGAGCUUAAGCCAUCCUCCCACCUUGGCCUCCCAAAGUGCUGGGAUUAUAGGUGUGGGCCACCAUGCCUGGACUAAUGAUGAUUCUCUAAUUCUAUCAUAUCUUCCACAUCAAUGAGCAGGAAUUCUUCUGCAAAGCACUUUCUCUCAUCUACCAGGGUUAUGUCUGUACAUGAUAGAUGCCCAAUUCUUUCCUUUUAAAUACAAAUAUUCAAAUGAGUAAUUCUGCCCUAGUUACAUCCCAUGGAGUCCAAUGAGGGUUUUGUUUUGGUCUUUUAUUUUUUCUCUUCUAUCAAUAUGGAUUCACUUUUAAAUAUAUUCAGUAUGGUUGUAGUCAACUGUAAAAUUUUUUUUCCUGCUCAAAUUGCC
rnacentral:lncRNA from 1 species